rfam:Ictidomys tridecemlineatus contig044696, whole genome shotgun sequence.
GGAGUUGUGGCUCAGUGGUAGAGUGCUUGCCUUGCAUGUGUGAGGCACUGGGUUCAAUUCUCAGCACUA